ACUGAGGUGUUUUUGCAUUUUAUUUUUAGCACUUUCUUUUAUAAAUAUUGUGACUUUAAGUUACUUUAAGUUUGCAUACAGAUCUUAAAUGGCUUUUGAAACUAAGCUGAGAAAAUGAAUUUGUGACACAAAAAGGCUCAUCACCAUGGACAGAGAGGCUUCAAGGGAGCAGAAGCAGCACCCACUCAUUUCAAGAAGCUGUCUCUGUUCCUGAUGGUGUCGAGUGAAGGAAAAGGAGAGUACUGCUCUGCAGGGAGUUAGUGCUGGUCUUGUCAUAUGCACAGAGCUCAAGGGUUCACCAGCAAAACCACAGGGAAUGCCAGGGUGAGGUGAAGUGGGAGCGCAGGAGGAAAGUUGUUGACUCCUUGACUCUGAACUGCCAACUUCAAACCAUUGCUGAGCUAGAGAACACUGGAUGUAUAUGGAAUAAAAAAAAUGUCAUUUCAAGUUUCAGCCUUCAAUUAAAGGUCCACAUCGCUCCUGGAAAUACACUGCUGAGGUAUUCAGCAAAAAGCAGAGCAUCCAACCUAAUUCUUCUCUCCUCUGAAUGUUUCUGUUCUCUUAUGCUGCCUAAAUACAUUCAUACAACCUUACUCAAAUCUACCUCUACUGUGGCUCCCAGCUGCUUGCUUACAGCUGGUUUGCUGGUGAACUGAGACUUGCCCUUGUACAUAAGGACCAAAGGUGUAUGUG
rnacentral:lncRNA from 1 species